ensembl:lncRNA
GUUUAUUUCUCAGGUAUUUUGUCACAGAGAUAGAAAGCUGACUAGAAUGCCCAUUAGUAACCAAGGACACACUUGGCUAGAUGAUGGUGCAAGUAUUUCUUUAUUUUUCCCCUUUAGAUAAUUUUUUACUCUGCAGAAACCACCAUGGCUUGGCACCUUGAAGACCCCCCUUCCUCCCCUACCCAUUCUCUACCCCUCAGAUUCCCCUCCCCUUGCCUCCUGCAUUGUAGCUACUUCCCACCAAUACCUGUGCUUGCCUUGGACACUCAGGGGCUUUGGAGCAGAACACCAGGAGAGUGAACUUCUCUCAUAUUAACAUUUACCGCUAGAUAUGAAUGCAUGCUUUACAAUGCUGGAAGACCCUCUUCCCACAGGGUGCCUGUGUGCCUCCUGCACUGUCCAAGAAAAAUCAUGGACAUGCGGUCAAGAAGAAAGAUGGCAGCUGUGGCUCUUGGUGCUUACCUUGUAUUCCUAUAUCGCAUACAUCCCUGACAAGAUGGCACACUCAUAAGCAAGGUUGUGUCAUCUUUGUGGUCACAGGAUAUGUAUUAUUUGAUGGUGUUAUCCUUGUAUGGGGGACCCUAGAGGAUGUCAUAUAUCACAGAAAACCCACUACACUGCCGGCCCUUAGAGAAGAAAUUGAAAAUGCACGUGCAGCAAUCUCAAUGACUCAGAUUAUCCAAGCA